rnacentral:lncRNA from 1 species
CAGACACUUGGAGAGGCAGUAGGAUGGUGACGUCUGCUGCCUCUCGGAGUGACAGGAUCAUGAGAACUGACUCGGUCACCUCAGAUAAAUACAAACUACUAAACUAAAAAACAAGCAUGGCUUAAGAAAUAACAACCAACACAAGAGAAAAACAAAGCAGCG